CGCUUGUGGCCGGAAGCCUGACCAGCCAUGCCGCGUGCAGGAAGACGGCCCUAAGGGAUGUAAACUGCUUUUGGGGAGGAGGAAAGGUACUGACUCGUACAGUGCUGGCCGGACCCUUAGGAACAAGCACCGGCUAACUCCGUGCCAGCAGCCGCGGUAUUCCGGAGGGUGCAGGCGUUAUCCGGAUUCAUUAGGUUUAAAGGGGGCGUAGGCGGUCUGUCAGGUCAAAGGUGAAAGUACCUGGUUCACCCAUGUAUUUGCCUUUGAAACUGAUAGACUGAAUAUAACAGGAUGCAGGGAGAAUGUAUGGAGUAGCGGUGAAAUGCAUAAAUACCAUACAAAACCCCGAUUGCACAGGCAGCUUGCAAGAGUUUAUCUGACGUUAAUUCACGAAAGCUUGGGUAGCGAACAGGAUUAGAUACCCUGGUAGCCCAGGCAUUAAACGAUGAUCACUGGUUGUGUGCAAUAUAUUGUAAGCGACUGACCGAACGCAUUAAUUGAUCCCCCUGGGGAGUACGUUCGCAAGUAUGAAACUCAAAGGAUUUGACGG
rnacentral:rRNA from 1 species